GAUGAACGCUGGCGGCAUGCCUUACACAUGCAAGUCGAACGGUAACAGGUCUUCGGAUGCUGACGAGUGGCGAACGGGUGAGUAAUACAUCGGAACGUGCCCGAGAGUGGGGGAUAACGAAGCGAAAGCUUUGCUAAUACCGCAUACGAUCUCAGGAUGAAAGCAGGGGACCGCAAGGCCUUGCGCUCACGGAGCGGCCGAUGGCAGAUUAGGUAGUUGGUGGGAUAAAGGCUUACCAAGCCGACGAUCUGUAGCUGGUCUGAGAGGACGAUCAGCCACACUGGGACUGAGACACGGCCCAGACUCCUACGGGAGGCAGCAGUGGGGAAUUUUGGACAAUGGGCGCAAGCCUGAUCCAGCAAUGCCGCGUGCAGGAUGAAGGCCUUCGGGUUGUAAACUGCUUUUGUACGGAACGAAAAGCCCUGGGUUAAUACCCUGGGGUCAUGACGGUACCGUAAGAAUAAGCACCGGCUAACUACGUGCCAGCCGCCGCAGUAA
rnacentral:rRNA from 1 species